rnacentral:rRNA from 1 species
UACAGAGGGGGCAAGCGUUGUUCGGAAUUACUGGGCGUAAAGGGCGCGUAGGCGGCCGCCUAAGUCAGACGUGAAAUCCCUCGGCUCAACCGGGGAACUGCGUCUGAUACUGGGUGGCUUGAAUCCGGGAGAGGGAUGCGGAAUUCCAGGUGUAGCGGUGAAAUGCGUAGAUAUCUGGAGGAACACCGGUGGCGAAGGCGGCAUCCUGGACCAAUUCUGACACUGAGGAGCGAAAGCCAGGGGAGCAAACGGG